rnacentral:sRNA from 1 species
UUUUUCAUCACCCCUAAAAGAAACCUGUCCCCAUAGCAGCCACCUGCCGUCUCCCCCUCCCUGAGCCCUGACAGCCAGGAAUGCACUUCCCAUCUCUGGACUUGCCUGUUGUAGACUGUUGUAGACGCUUAGAGAAAUGGAUGCAUUCACCGUGCCCCUGCCCUGCUUUUCCAGGUUUCUGAAGGGGCUGCAGGUGAGGCCGGCCCCUCUCUCAGCUGAGCUUCAGGCUGCGCUGGCCAUGGAGCCGACCCCCGGUGGGGUCAAAUACAUCAUUGCCACUCAGGUGGGGCCAGGGCCUCAAAUCCUGGAUGACCCCUGCGCCCACCUUCUGGGUCCUGAUGGCCUGCCGAAGCCAGCUGCCUGACUGCCUCAGCAGGGACCGCACGCCGCUUGGAGAAGGGGUGGCCUCGCCAGAGCUAGGGAGCGGGUGUGGUGGGCUGGCCGGACUACUGGGACAUGUGGGUGGUGGCUUGAUCCCGGGCCCAUGGACAGCUUGCUGUGGGGCAGUGCAGGGAGUCCUGCGGCCGCCCAGGUG